rnacentral:lncRNA from 1 species
GUUCUUAAAAAUAAAUAAAUUUGCCAUUUGUUUCAACUUUGCAGGCGGGCGACUUCCAGCCUAGCGCCGGCCCUGGUUACAUCUACUAAUAAACCAACUAUCUGUGCGAAAAAAUUCGAAGAAUGGUCAAAACUCGAUGCAAUACGAGUUGCAUCACUUGGCCAUGCUUAACGAUAUCCCCAAUACGGCUCUUACUGCAUUUUUUUUCUAGCGCUUUAUCUCGAGCAUGAUACGCAUGAGAUCAUGCUGGCGAUAGUGUGUGAUUUACUUUUAAGAAUUGUUUUAUUGCCGAGUAUAAAAGAGGCCGUUAUCUCCCCUUUUAUAUUGUUACGCGAUAAGAACCAUACAAUAAAUUUACAGACCGAUCCCCCUGUCUCAACUAUCUAUCAAUUUUGGAAACAAUUUAUUCUACUUCUUAAAGAAACCAAAUUUUUCAUUUUUUUUUUUUUUUUUAUUAAUUUUUUUAACUCAUAAAUCGGCUUAAUAAUA